CAAGAAAGAUCUUAGUUUUCAGCCACUGAGUGACCCUGACGAACUGAUCGAGAAUUGGAAGUCCAUUCUUUUUCACAUUACAGGUGUGCACAGUUGGAUUGAAGAAGGAAAGCCGAAAAAAUGUGGACACAAUGAUCUCAGUCCGGAACAGCAACGAAGAAAAAAAUGGCUUGGAAAAGA